UACGAAGGGUGCUAGCGUUGUUCGGAAUUACUGGGCGUAAAGCGCGCGUAGGCGGCUAUUCAAGUCAGGGGUGAAAUCCUUGGGCUCAACCCAAGAAUUGCCUUUUAAACUGUAUAGCUGGAGUGUCGGAGGGGAUAGCGGAAUUCCUAAUGUAGAGGUGAAAUUCGUAGAUAUUAGGAGGAACACCGGUGGCGAAGGCGGCUAUCUGGACGACAACUGACGCUGAGGCGCGAAAGCACGGGGAUCAAACAGG
rnacentral:rRNA from 1 species